UACGAAGGGUGCAAGCGUUAUCCGGAUUCAUUGGGUUUAAAGGGUGCGUAGGUGGGGCGGUAAGUCAGUGGUGAAAUCCUGCAGCUUAACUGUAGAAUCGCCAUUGAUACUGUCGCUCUUGAGUACGCUUGACGUGGGCGGAAUGUGCCGUGUAGCGGUGAAAUGCUUAGAUAUGGCACAGAACACCGAUAGUGAAGACAGCUCACGAAGGCGAAACUGACACUGAGGCACGAAAGCGUGGGGAUCGAACAGG
rnacentral:rRNA from 1 species